UACGAAGGGGGCUAGCGUUGCUCGGAAUCACUGGGCGUAAAGCGCACGUAGGCGGACUCUUAAGUCGGUGGUGAAAUCCUGGAGCUCAACUCCAGAACUGCCUUCGAUACUGGGAGUCUCGAGUCCGGGAGAGGUGAGUGGAACUGCGAGUGUAGAGGUGAAAUUCGUAGAUAUUCGGCAAGGACACCAGUGGCGAAGGCGGCUCACUGGCCCGGUACUGACGCUGAGGUGCGAAAGCGUGGGGAGCAAACAGG
rnacentral:rRNA from 1 species